UCAGGAUGAACGCUGGCGGCGUGCUUAACACAUGCAAGUCGAACGAUGAUCCCAGCUUGCUGGGGGAUUAGUGGCGAACGGGUGAGUAACACGUGAGUAACCUGCCCUUAACUCUGGGAUAAGCCUGGGAAACUGGGUCUAAUACCGGAUAUGACUCCUCAUCGCAUGGUGGGGGGUGGAAAGCUUUAUUGUGGUUUUGGAUGGACUCGCGGCCUAUCAGCUUGUUGGUGAGGUAAUGGCUCACCAAGGCGACGACGGGUAGCCGGCCUGAGAGGGUGACCGGCCACACUGGGACUGAGACACGGCCCAGACUCCUACGGGAGGCAGCAGUGGGGAAUAUUGCACAAUGGGCGAAAGCCUGAUGCAGCGACGCCGCGUGAGGGAUGACGGCCUUCGGG
rnacentral:rRNA from 1 species